GAUGAACGCUGGCGGCGUGCCUAACACAUGCAAGUCGAGCGUGAUUUAUGAGGACGAAACUUCGGUCUAGGAAUCAUAAUGAAAGCGGCGGACGGGUGAGUAACGCGUAGGCAACCUGCCCUUGACACAGGGAUAGCCUCGGGAAACCGGGAUUAAAACCUGAUGACGCCAAACAGUCACAUGGCUGUUUGGCCAAAGAUUUAUCGGUCAAGGAUGGGCCUGCGUCUGAUUAGUUAGUUGGUGGGGUAACGGCCUACCAAGACGACGAUCAGUAGCCGACCUGAGAGGGUGAUCGGCCACAUUGGAACGGAGACACGGUCCAAACUCCUACGGGAGGCAGCAGUGGGGAAUAUUGCACAAUGGGCGAAAGCCUGAUGUAGCAACGCCGCGUGAGCGAUGAAGGCCUUUGGGUCGUAAAGCUCUGUCCUCGGGGAAGAAACAAAUGACGGUACCCAAGGAGGAAGCCCCGGCUAACUACGUGCCAGCAGCCGCCGCAG
rnacentral:rRNA from 1 species